rnacentral:rRNA from 1 species
AGUGAACGCUGGCGGUAGGCCUAACACAUGCAAGUCGAACGGCAGCACAGUAAGAUUUUGCUCUUACGGGUGGCGCGUGGCGGACGGGUGACGAAUACAUCGCAAUCUACUUUUUCUUGGGUGAUAACGUAGGGAAACUUACGCUAAUACCGCAUACGACCUACCGGUGAAAGCAGGGGAUCUUCGGACCUUUUGCGAUUGUAUGAGCCGAUGUCGGAUUAGCUAGUUGGCGGGGUAAAGGCCCACCAAGGCGACGAUGCGUAGCUGGUCUGAGAGGAUGAUCGGCCACACUGGAACUGAGACACGGUCCAGAAGCCUACGGGAGGCAGCAGUAGGGAAUAUUGGACAAUGGGCGAAAGCCUGAUGCAGCAAUGCCGCGUGGGUGAAGAAGGCCUUCGGGUUGUAAAGCCCUUUUGUUGGGAAAGAAAAGCAGCAGGUUAAUACCGGGAUGUUUUGACGGUACCCAAAGAAUAAGCACCGGCUAACUACGUG